rnacentral:lncRNA from 1 species
UUGCCUUAAUUCGCGUUUCCGGCCGACGGGUUGGCGGAUCUGCAGCCAGCGUUCAUCUCAAACGCCGCCGUUUUGCCGUUGAAGCUCCGGCUGGCGAAUGUGGACGGUGAGCGGAGGAGGAGCAGGAGGAGUCUCGGUAACUCGAAUCGUCGCUAGUUAUGAGCCCCGGAGAAGGGGGUCGCCGCCGCUCACGGAGGAUGAAGGCAG